rnacentral:antisense_RNA from 1 species
GGGAGCUUGAGGCUGUAAGCUGAAAGCGUUUGUGAAAGCCCCGGGAGAUUGUUCUAUCAAUCAACCAAGGGCUCUACUGUAAUGCCUAGACAACAUUAUAGUAGCCCGCUGACGUCCUCCACGCCAGAGGGAGCUUGCUACG